rnacentral:pre_miRNA from 1 species
AAUAAAUCAAUUUUUUAUUUUUUACCUACAAUUUUUGACUCUUCGUCUUAUUCAAAUUUUUUUUGCGAUUGAUAUUUUUGUUUUUAUUAGAUGAUAAAUCAUGAAUAGUACUUUAUGUGUGACUAAUUUUUUUCUAAUUUUCUAAAAAAAUUUUAAAUAAGACGGAUAGUCAAACGUUGGACACGGAAACC